GUGGGGAAUUUUGGACAAUGGGCGCAAGCCUGAUCCAGCAAUGCCGCGUGCAGGAAGAAGGCCUUCGGGUUGUAAACUGCUUUUGUACGGAACGAAACGGUCCGGGUUAAUACCCUGGGCUAAUGACGGUACCGUAAGAAUAAGCACCGGCUAACUACGUGCCAGCAGCCGCGGUAAUACGUAGGGUGCAAGCGUUAAUCGGAAUUACUGGGCGUAAAGCGUGCGCAGGCGGUUUUGUAAGACAGGCGUGAAAUCCCCGGGCUCAACCUGGGAAUUGCGAUUGUGACUGCAAGGCUGGAGUGCGGCAGAGGGGGAUGGAAUUCCGCGUGUAGCAGUGAAAUGCGUAGAUAUGCGGAGGAACACCGAUGGCGAAGGCAAUCCCCUGGGCCUGCACUGACGCUCAUGCACGAAAGCGUGGGGAGCAAACAGGAUUAGAUACCCUAGUAGUCC
rnacentral:rRNA from 1 species